AUGAACGCUGGCGGCGUGCCUAAUACAUGCAAGUCGCGCGAACAGACGAGGAGCUUGCUCCUCUGACGUUAGCGGCGGACGGGUGAGUAACACGUGGAUAACCUACCUAUAAGACUGGGAUAACUUCGGGAAACCGGAGCUAAUACCGGAUAAUAUAUUGAACCGCAUGGUUCAAUAGUGAAAGACGGUUUUGCUGUCACUUAUAGAUGGAUCUGCGCCGCAUUAGCUAGUUGGUAAGGUAACGGCUUACCAAGGCGACGAUGCGUAGCCGACCUGAGAGGGUGAUCGGCCACACUGGAACUGAGACACGGUCCAGACUCCUACGGGAGGCAGCAGUAGGGAAUCUUCCGCAAUGGGCGAAAGCCUGACGGAGCAACGCCGCGUGAGUGAUGAAGGUCUUCGGAUCGUAAAACUCUGUUAUUAGGGAAGAACAAAUGUGUAAGUAACUAUGCACGUCUUGACGGUACCUAAUCAGAAAGCCACGGCUAACUACGUG
rnacentral:rRNA from 1 species